rnacentral:ncRNA from 1 species
AAAUUUUUAUGUUUUAAGAAAUUUAUUAUGAAUUUAUUUUACAUAUAAAUUUUAGUAUGAAAUUUUAAUUAUUUAAAUAAUAUUAAUGAAAAUUAUAGUAAUUGGAAUUAAAAAUUUAAGAAAUUAAGAUUUAGUAAUAUGAAAAUUAAUAACUAAUUUUGUGCCAGCAGUUGCGGUUAUACAAAAAUUAAAUUAAAUUAUUUCAGUAUUUAAUAAAUAAAAUAAAAUUAAAAUAAAUAUUAAAUUAUUAGGUAAAAUUUUAAUUUAAUUAAAUUUUAGGUUAAUUUUAUGAUUUAAUAAAUUUAAUAAUAAACUAGGAUUAGAUACCCUAUUAUUAAAAAUUUAAUUUAAAAUACUAAAAUAGUAGAUAAUAAAUAUUGAAACUUAAAUAAUAUGGCGGUAUUUUAGUUCAUUUAGAGGAAUCUGUUUAAUAAUUGAUAAUCCACGAAUAAAUUUACUUAAUUUAAUAUUUUAUAUAUCGUUGUUAAAAAAAUAUUUUAUAAUAAAAAUAAUAUUUAAAAAUUUUUAAAAUAAAUUAAUUCAGAUCAAGAUGUAGAUUAUAGUUAAGAAUAUGAUGGAUUACAAUAAAAUAAUUUAUAGCGGAUAAUUUAAUUUUAAUAUUAAUUUAAAGAUGGAUUUAAAUGUAAUUUUAAUUAAUUUAUUAAAGUGAUUAAAAAUUGAAAUAUGUACAUAUUGCCCGUCACUUUCAUUUAAAAAUUGAAAUAAGUCGUAACAAAGUAGAAGUACUGGAAAGUGUUUCUAGAAUGAA